rnacentral:rRNA from 1 species
AGCGAACGCUGGCGGCAGGCUUAACACAUGCAAGUCGAGCGCCUGUAGCAAUACAGGAGCGGCAGACGGGAGAGUAACACGUGGGAACGUACCCUUCAGUUCGGAACAACCAAGGGAAACUUUGGCUAAUACCGAAUACGUCCGUAAGGAGAAAGAUUUAUCGCUGAAGGAUCGGCCCGCGUCUGAUUAGCUAGUUGGUGGGGUAAUGGCUCACCAAGGCGACGAUCAGUAGCUGGUCUGAGAGGAUGAUCAGCCUCAUUGGGACUGAGACACGGCCCAAACUCCUACGGGAGGCAGCAGUGGGGAAUAUUGGACAAUGGGCGCAAGCCUGAUCCAGCCAUGCCGCGUGGAUGAUGAAGGCCCUAGGGUUGUAAAGUCCUUUCGACGGGGAAGAUAAUGACGGUACCCGUAGAAGAAGCCCCGGCUAACUUCGUGCCAGCCGCCGCU